CAUUCUGCAGUCGUGACCCUUUCUUCUGCUUUAACUGCUGCAGUUCUCCUCAUCAUCAUAGUUUCAAUUAUUGGAGGAUUUAUCUGCAAAAAACAUCCAGAGAGCUCCUGUUUAAGAUCUGAAACAUCUGGAUCAGCUGUACAUGGAUCUGCUGCCACUUCAGAUGAAGAUAACGCAGAUGAAUUGUACAAAAGCCUUCAGCAGCCGACAAGUGAUCUCUACCAAACUAUCUCCUCAGGUCACCAUAAGCAUGAAACUGAAACAAACUCAGCCAGCAACAAAGGAAAUGUUAACCUGGAAAAUAUGGAAGUUAACAGCAAUCAUGAAAUGUAUGAAAACCUUUGAAUCAAAACUCUUUCAAGCUGAAUG